rnacentral:rRNA from 1 species
CGGUUAAGCUCAUUUCGGUGAGUGUAUAAAGUGGCGAACGGGUGAGUAACGCGUAAGAAAUCUACCUAUGAGUGAGGAAUACCUAUUGGAAACAGUAGUUAAUACCUCAUAUCUCAACUAAAGGCAUCUUUGGUUGACUAAAGAUUUAUUGCUCAUAGAUGGUCUUGCGUCUGAUUAGUUAGUUGGUGAGGUAAUGGCUCACCAAGGCAACGAUCAGUAGCUGGUCUGAGAGGAUGAUCAGCCACAUUGGGACUGAGAUACGGCCCAGACUCCUACGGGAGGCAGCAGUAGGGAAUAUUGGUCAAUGGACGAAAGUCUGAACCAGCAACGCCGUGUGAGGGAUGAAGCAUUUAGGUGUGUAAACCUCUGUCAGAAGGGAAGAAAAAGUUUUACGGAACAAUUGACGGUACCUUCAGAGGAAGCUCCGGCUAACUUCGUGCCAGCAGCCGCGGUAAUACGAGGGGAGCAAGCGUUGUCCGGAAUCAUUGGGCGUAAAGAGCAUGUAGGCGGCUUGUUAAGUUAGGGGUGAAAGUUUGCGGCUUAACCGUAAAAUUGCCUUUAAUACUGGCAGGCUUGAGUACAGAAGAGGAAAGCGGAAUUCCUGGUAUAGCGGUGA